rnacentral:rRNA from 1 species
CUACGGGGCGCUCCAGUCGAGGAAAUUUUACAAUGCUCGCAAGAGUGAUAAAAUAAGCCAGAGUGUUAAUCUUAGAUUAACUUUUAUCUGAUGUAAAAAGUCAGAUGAAUAAGGACUGGGCAAGACCGGUGCCAGCCGCCGCGGUAAUACCGGCGGUCCAAGUUGCAUCCACAUUUAUUGGGUCUAAAACAUUCGUAGCUUGUUUUGUAAGUUUCUUGUGAAAUUUCAUAUCUCAAAUAUGAAGCGUGCAAGAAAUACUGCAUUGCUAGAGACCGGAAGACGUAAGGGGUAUGAUUGAGGUAGUGGUAAAAUACGUUAAUCUUAAUCAGACUAACAAUGGCGAAGGCACCUUACGAGUACGGAUCUGACAGUGAGGGAUGAAGGCCAGGGGCGCGAAAGGGAUUAGAUACCCCAGUAGUC